ensembl:lncRNA
CAUGGCAUUACUGGAUGUUUUUCAUUAUCGAGGUAGAAGGAGGCACUAAAAUUAUACAAGAUUAUACAGGUAUAACAACAUACCUGGUUAUGUACACACAUACCGUAUUUAAUUAACGUUCGGGUUAGAGUUUAGGGUUUAGGGUUUUCUUACCAUAAAUUUAAACUUUCUGUAAUUUAAUUUGAAUAAAAAUGGUAAGAGUGUAAAUAUAUAUCAAAGGAUUGAACUGGAAAAUACCGUCAGUCAAAUCUGAUCUAAUACUAAUCCAAUGUUUAAGGACAGUAUAAAACCCGAUACCAAAAUUCAGUGUUGGAUCAUCAUAUAGACCAAAUAGACACUCUAAGCCCUUCUUGUGCUGCUAUGUAAAAUAUAUUAGCACCCUUCUACCCCAUCUCCCAGCAGAAAUGAACCACCACUGAGCUGAUCUGGUUGGGGGUUUAUUCUUUACGUGUGUAACAAUCCAAUAGUUGAAAUGGGUCUAGUAUUAUUUUACAUUCUUUUAUAAAUUGUAUAUUAUCACAACUGGUUUAAAAAUAGUUAAUUUUUUUAUACCAACGUGUAAAUAAUUUUUAGCCGACUAGCAGUGGGAUUUGCCUGUAACUCUGAAAUAUUCCUUUUGUAUGUCAUCAUCAUUUGCAAAUUAACAUUAGUCCUACCCCAGAGUCUGAAUAAAGUUGAACACAUAUUCUGAAUAAAGCUUCUGAACACAGAGGCUACUAAAUAAAAUAGUAGCGUAUUGUAUUAUAUCUCCUUGUGUCAUAGCCAAUUCAGCGGUAUGGAAUUGUUGCCUUACCUGAGAUAUUCUUAGUAUGCUAACCUCAUUUUGUGGUGUGGUGCUGGUAUGAGUGUGUUGUUAUUGCUGUUGCUGGGUUUUAAUUGCUCACAUUUGCUUGAAACUCCAAACCCGUCAUUAGUGGGACAAAACAAACAAAAGAAUUUAUUAAUAUAACUGUAUACGGUUAUACUGAAAACUAUACAUACAUUUCAAACCGCAAUUACCACCAAUGAGAACAAGACACAGAUUAGUAAGCUAUGGCCAGAAUUCCUUCUUGGAUUCUACACUACUAGUGGGGGAAAUAAGUAUUGGAUGCGUCAACAUGUUUUUCAGUAAAUAUAUUUCCAAUGAGGUUAUUCACAUGAAAUUUUCACCAGACAUCAGUAUUAACUCAAGAAAUCCACACAUAUAAUGAAAUCCAAACAUUAAAGACUAUAAAUAAAGUUGUGUGUAAUAUAGCGGAAUGACAGAAAAAGUACUGAACAUGCUAAUUGAAAUGUAUUUAAUACUUAAUGGAGAAGCCUUUGUUUGUAAUGAAGCUUCAAGACGCUUCCUGUAUGAAGAAAUUAAUGGGCCGCAGUAUUCAGGUGUGAUUUUGGCACAUUCUUCUAAACAUAUUGUCUUUAAAUCUUGUUCAGUUGGAUUCGAGUCAAAUGAUUGACUGAAAUUGAGUGUUUCCUUUGCUUUAUGCUUUGGAUCGUUGUCCUGCUGGAAGUCCACCUACGUCUCAUCUUCAUCAUCCUUGAGGAUGGCAGCAGAUUCUUCUCAAGAAUCUCCCGAAGCACUACCUGCACAGUGCUGCUUCAGUUAAGCCCAUGUAGACCCGGCAGCUCCUACAUCAGAAAAGCAGUAACAGCACUUUAUGAGUUCAACUAAUCGGGGAGGCGAAGAGAGUGGGAAAGGUCUGUGCUUGGACGAUGCCACACUGCCACCUGGAGAUGGUAUUGUACAUUACAGCUCCUCCGUACUCUUCUCUGAAAUUUGCCAGGAGAUGAUGGGCAAUGUCACAUGAUGCAACUAAACCAUCAUUCCUCAAGAAAUAUAAGAGCUGAGGAGUGCAGGCUGAGAAACACACACACACAGAGGCACACACUCUCACACAGUCAAGUGCCCAAGGUCAAGUACUGGCUUUACUGCUACAUGAAAGCUGUACAAUUCCACCUUUUCAGACUGGUGCGAACCUGCAACUUAAUUGCAGUCACACCCCUCCCACGAAUACAACAUCCUCCCUCCCUCGUUAAUGUUGCGUUCAACAUCACAAUAGCAACAUAAAUACUGCCACAGCCGGACAUGACAGGACUGCAAGAAAAGUCUACACUAUACAAUCCAACACCGGCAGAUGGGACACAAGAGACCACAACGGCAACAGUGUCUGCCAGCAACACGACAGAAUCAUAACGUGACAGGACCAAAAACACCACACUAUACAUUACAAAUACAUCAUCAUCAUCAUCAUCAUCAUCAUCAUUAUCACUACGUAUCUGAACAGAAUCAAACACCACACUAUACAUUACAAAUACAUCAUCAUUAUCAUCAUCAUCACUACGUAUCUGAACAGAAUCAAACACCACACGAGACAUAACAAAUACAACAUCGACAUCGCUCCGUAGAAAGAUCAAAUCAAACACCACAUGACGCCAGCCUACAUCCUUUCCAUGAAAGCUUCAGCAUAUCCUGAGCACCUAACAGCUGAAGCUUACUGUAAAACCAGUGGAUCACUUUCAGAUCUCCUCUAAACUCAGGAACCGAGUUCCAGAGAACUUUGGGAAUACAAAAACUGUAGAUGUUUUGUUUGAAGUUUUGAAAUGUGAGAAUUUAGCUUAUUUAACAUAUUUCUAAUGAAUUUCAUUUUCUAUGUAUGUUUAUAUUUAAUGUGCUUGGCCACAAAUAUUUAAAUGUUUUAUUUAACAUACUUAUUUAACUCACACUUCUUGCAUCGUUUAUCUUGUUAAUAUUUCCCUGAUUUGUAGUAAUUCUCAUGAAUGUAUAGUUUCACAAUUAGAUUUCUGAUUUAUAAAUGUUACAUUAUUAAUUAAAUCAAUGUAUUAUUAUUAUUAAUUGAAGAAUUGUUUCACUAAUGGACUUUAUCAUAAAUGCUGAUUUUUUUUUUAAUUGGUGUACAAAUAAACUAUAUCUACACAAACU